CUUAGUUCAUGGUACACCCACAUAAGUAUGUGCACAUCCAGGUGUAGUGCCAGAGACCCCAGUUUGAAAACAGAUUUUCCUGAAGGCUUUUUCUGAAAGCGGUCAUAGCCAAACAUUUCAGUAGUAUAAAAAAAGCCUCCUCUUGCAUCCUGGCCUUGUUUUUAGACAUUGUAGUAACAAAAAGCAGCUCCUCCCAGGCUGACUGAGCACAGGCCCAGCAGGAGGACUUGCUGAUUUCUUCUUGUGGCACCCACAUUUACACAGCAGCAGAGCUGCAGCCAGAUAAAUCAUCCUGGAGAAUGCUCAGCCUUGCUAUAUGACAC